CGGUAUGAAGCAGGCGGUGACGGCGCACUGAUUCACUCUCGGAGCUCGGUUCACUAAUGACCGAAUCACCGUGGAACCGACUAAAGAUAACUCACACCUUACGGAGAAGAAGAACAAGAGGAGGAGAAGAUGAGCUGGAGUGGGGCAAAGAGAACUGCAUUCAGAUCAAACGGAUACAAGAGGUGGCCGAGUUGUUUGAGGAUCUGAAGAAUCGAGUGUCACAAUUCAACAUGCACAUCAGCGAAACUUCUCCCUCUGACUACACCAGCACGCACACACAGAAAUUCAUAGUGCAGGUGGCGAUUGCAGGCGCAUUUUAUCCGAACUGCUUCCUCCAGGGAACAGUGGACGAGGAGCUCGCCUCCAAGGAACUCUAUGGAAACGACCCCAGGACCACCGUAGUGGUGUGUAAUCUCCCUCCAUUUGCAUUCCUCUACUAUAAACAGCUCCAGUCUCUCUUCAGACACUGUGGUCAAGUCAAAUCCAUCUCCUUUGACAGCUCCAGGGCCUAUGUAGAGUUCUACCGCUCGUCAAUGAGAGGUUCUGGCGUUCUCCCAGAGGUCUCUCUGUCUCUCCUCCUCACGCAGCAGAGACUUCCUCUCCAUCUCAACGUUUAACCCGCUGGAGAGGUGGAGACUUGGGCAGGGGGGUAGUGUAUCUCACACCUCAGAUAUACACGGGUGAAUGUGGAUUUUCAGAAUCAGUCAGUGAGCCCUGUCGGGGUUCUGAGCAGCUCCAUUGAGUUGGAGAAUCUUCCAUCUAACCCUGUCUUUAUCGUCAAUAUCACCGAGGUGUCUGUUCCGCCUCUUUCACUUUCAGUGCACAAAUAAAAAAAAAAGCAGUGGCUCCUGUGUGUGUGUGUGUGUGUGUGUGUGUGUGUGUGUGUGUGUGUGUGUGUGUGUGUGUGUGUGUGUGUGUGUGUGUGGAGAAAGUCUGGAGUCUGGAGAAACAGAGGUGGCUGACAGUGGCCGUUAAUACACGGGCGCUCUGCCCACUUCCUGUCUCACUUUAUCCAAAUCUUCUGUGUCUCGCCCCUUUCUCUGAAACUCACACCAAACCUGGGAACUACUACAGAGCCAAAAUACUGCAUGUCAUGGGGAGUAAUGUGGAGGUGUUCUUUGUGGACUUUGGAAACACUUCCAAGGUGCCAUGUAACUCUCUCUGGAACUUCCUGCUGACCGGCAAGCUCUGUAUUUCAGGCUCAGGAGUUCAGCGUGGCGUG